AUUGAACGCUGGCGGCAGGCUUAGCACAUGCAAGUCGAGCGGGGUGAUGGUGCUUGCACUAUCACUUAGCGGCGGACGGGUGAGUAAUGCUUAGGAAUCUGCCUAUUAGUGGGGGACAACAUCUCGAAAGGGAUGCUAAUACCGCAUACGUCCUACGGGAGAAAGCAGGGGAUCACUUGUGACCUUGCGCUAAUAGAUGAGCCUAAGUCGGAUUAGCUAGUUGGUGGGGUAAAGGCCUACCAAGGCGACGAUCUGUAGCGGGUCUGAGAGGAUGAUCCGCCACACUGGGACUGAGACACGGCCCAGACUCCUACGGGAGGCAGCAGUGGGGAAUAUUGGACAAUGGGGGGAACCCUGAUCCAGCCAUGCCGCGUGUGUGAAGAAGGCCUUAUGGUUGUAAAGCACUUUAAGCGAGGAGGAGGCUCUUUUGGUUAAUACCCAAGAUGAGUGGACGUUACUCGCAGAGUAAGCACUGGCUAACUCUGUGCCAGCCGCCGCCGUAA
rnacentral:rRNA from 1 species